rnacentral:rRNA from 1 species
UGGCGAACGGGUGAGUAAUAUAUCGGAACGUGCCCAGUAGUGGGGGAUAACUGCUCGAAAGAGCAGCUAAUACCGCAUACGACCUGAGGGUGAAAGGGGGGGAUCGCAAGACCUCUCGCUAUUGGAGCGGCCGAUAUCAGAUUAGCUAGCUGGUGGGGUAAAGGCCUACCAAGGCAACGAUCUGUAGUUGGUCUGAGAGGACGACCAGCCACACUGGGACUGAGACACGGCCCAGACUCCUACGGGAGGCAGCAGUGGGGAAUUUUGGACAAUGGGCGCAAGCCUGAUCCAGCAAUGCCGCGUGCAGGAAGAAGGCCUUCGGGUUGUAAACUGCUUUUGUCAGGGAAGAAAUCUUCUGGGCUAAUACCCCGGGAGGAUGACGGUACCUGAAGAAUAAGCACCGGCU